rnacentral:rRNA from 1 species
GACGAACGCUGGCGGCGUGCUUAACACAUGCAAGUCGAACGAGACGAUUGAAAGCUUGCUUUUGAAAGUCGAGUGGCAAACGGGUGAGUAACGCGUAGACAACCUGCCUUUGAGAUGGGGACAACAGUCCGAAAGGACUGCUAAUACCGAAUGUUGUGGAACUUCCGCAUGGGAGCUCCACCAAAGAUGACCUCUUCCUGAAAGUUAUCGCUCAAAGAUGGGUCUGCGUCUGAUUAGCUGGUUGGUGGGGCAACGGCCUACCAAGGCGACGAUCAGUAGCCGGACUGAGAGGUUGAACGGCCACGAUUGGGACUGAGAUACGGCCAGAC